rnacentral:misc_RNA from 1 species
GAUGAAGAACGUAGCGAAAUGCGAUAAGUAAUGUGAAUUGCAGAAUUCAGUGAAUCAUCGAAUCUUUGAACGCACAUUGCGCCCCUUGGUAUUCCGAGGGGCAUGCCUGUUCGAGCGUCAUUACACCACUCAAGCUAUGCUUGGUAUUGGGCGUCGUCCUUAGUUGGGCGCGCCUUAAAGACCUCGGCGAGGCCACUCCGGCUUUAAGCGUAGUAGAAUUUAUUCGAACGUCUGUCAAAGGAGAGGAACUCUGCCGACUGAAACCUUUAUUUUUCUAGGUUGACCUCGGAUCAGGUAGGGAUACCCGCUGAACUUAAGCAUAACAAUAAGCGGAGGA